rnacentral:lncRNA from 1 species
UUAAUUUGAUAAAACUCCUACCAUGACCAAUUUGUGUUUCUCUCAUCUCCCCUCCCUCUUCAUCUUCAAUCCCAUUAUCUCCCAUCCUUUUCAUUGACUUAUGAAAUACCAAUAUCCUAAGGCUAAUUCGUUCAUCAAUAACCUUGUCUUAGAUGAACCAAUACAAAUAUGGAUGAGAUAGGUCCAUCCUUUGAUCUUUUUCUUUUUAUGUAUGGUAAGUUUUAGGAGUUUGGUUCAUUAUACCAUAUCUCUAACAUGCAUUAACA